UUUUUUGCGGAUCCGGGUCCGGAUCCAGGAAGCCAAAAUCUUGGGGAUCCAACGGAUCCGGAUCCUAAGCACUGGUUUAGAGUUACCUUAAGUGUACUUACUAUUAUCGUAUAUAUGAUAUUUAUACAUCACCUUCCAACUAUUCGUAAUUUUUUUCGUUGCCAAAUGAUAAAUUUUAGUUUUCAAAGUUAAGUUUAAAGAAAGAUCAACGGCGACAUUUAUUCCACCCUCGCUAGAAGAAUUCUGUUUCAAACUUGCUUUAUAGUUUUUAACAAUUUAUAGUCAAAUUACUAAACCCUAUUUAAACUCACAAUGUACAUAUUCUUGAUUGUAAAGCUUUCAACAAAUAUGUUUUGAAUGAUUUGAAUUUUGUUAAAUCGAAAUUAAAUUUAGAUUUUUAAGAUUAUUUUAAUUAAUUUUUGUGUUUGAAGAUCUUUAGUAUAAUUCUCAUAAUUUUAUUUAAUUGUAUGUUAAAGGUUUUGUUCGCGAAAAUUUAAUCUGCGUACUGUUCUGUUCUCUGUCUCUCCAUUUACAGAUUCACAACGGUACCUCUUUAAAGCUUGUAUGAUCAAGAUUGGGUGAGAUAUUCAUGAUUUUAACUUUGAAAAUUGGCCAUUGUAAAUGAAGGGUCACUUGAAACAACAACGACAUUUCACUCAUUUCGCAAACAAUUCCUUUAGUUCACGGAUUUUAUGAAACUCUGUGAUUAGCUUUGAACUGUAAUCAAUUCAUUCACCUCCUCCUUCACACAGCAUACUUAACUGUUUUAGGAAAUAAAAUCUGAGCUUUCUUUUU